UACGUAGGUGACAAGCGUUGUCCGGAUUUACUGGGCGUAAAGAGCGCGCAGGCGGUCGAUCAAGUCGAGUGUGAAAGCCCCCGGCUCAACUGGGGAGGGUCAUUCGAUACUGAUCGACUCGAAGGCAGGAGAGGGUAGUGGAAUUCCCGGUGUAGAGGUGAAAUUCGUAGAUAUCGGGAGGAACACCGGUGGCGAAGGCGGCGACCUGGGUAGAUACUGACGCUGAGGUGCGAAAGCGUGGGGAGCAAACAGGAU
rnacentral:rRNA from 1 species